rnacentral:rRNA from 1 species
UACGGAGGGUGCGAGCGUUGUCCGGAAUCACUGGGCGUAAAGCGCACGUAGGCGGAUUUGUCAGUCAGGGGUGAAAUCCCGGGGCUCAACCUCGGAACUGCCUUUGAUACAGCAAGUCUUGAGUUCGAGAGAGGUGGGUGGAAUUCCUAGUGUAGAGGUGAAAUUCGUAGAUAUUAGGAAGAACACCGGUGGCGAAGGCGGCCCACUGGCUCGAUACUGACGCUGAGGUGCGAAAGCGUGGGGAGCAAACAGG